CUGCGGCAGCCAGGGUGGGGCCCAGAGGGAACCUGGCCCCUCCCGCCCCCACCUCGCCUUUGGGUCGAUGACUCCCAGGCUGUGGUGAGGGUCCCGGAGCCAGCACCACGGA
rnacentral:lncRNA from 1 species